AUACGGAGGAUGCGAGCGUUAUCCGGAUUUAUUGGGUUUAAAGGGAGCGUAGGUGGGAUAUUAAGUCAGCUGUGAAAGUUUGGGGCUCAACCUUAAAAUUGCAGUUGAUACUGGUUUCCUUGAGUACGGUACAGGUGGGCGGAAUUCGUGGUGUAGCGGUGAAAUGCUUAGAUAUCACGAAGAACUCCGAUCGCGAAGGCAGCUCACCGGGCCGGAACUGACACUGAUGCUCGAAAGUGCGGGUAUCAAACAGGAUUAGAUACCCUGGUAGUCCGCACAGUAAACGAUGAAUACUCGCUGUUUGCGAUACACUGUAAGCGGCCAAGCGAAAGCGUUAAGUAUUCCACCUGGGGAGUACGCCGGCAACGGUGAAACUCAAAUGAAUGGACGGGG
rnacentral:rRNA from 1 species